UUGAAUUGAAGAGUUUGAUCAUGGCUCAGAUUGAACGCUGGCGGCAGGCUUAACACAUGCAAGUCGGACGGUAGCAGGAGAAAGCUUGCUUUCUUGCUGACGAGUGGCGGACGGGUGAGUAAUGC
rnacentral:rRNA from 1 species